rnacentral:lncRNA from 1 species
GACUAUAUAUAACUUAUGUUUAGGGUAAAAAUUGAUUAACGAGUAUUUUUAUAGUAAAAUUUGAUAAUCUAAUCUCUCGGUUAUUAAAUAUAUCUGAAGGAAUAGAUCAUUAAUUUAAAAAACAAAUAAAAAUAAAAAAGGAAGACACCACUUUUAAAGAAAUAAAAAUAUAAACUGUUGUUGCUGGGAUUCAAAGCAUGUCCUGAAUUAUUUUUCCCUCGGUUAUAUUUAGAAACCUAGGGUGUAUAUUGUAUUUAUUAAAAAUAAAAUAAAACAUGGUGCGCCUUGACAUUUGACAUCGGGUUUUGGUUGGGUGAGGUGAGAGUUUUAUCAUGAUAUGUAUUAUCUGUAGUAGUUGUGUGCGUGUGUGUGUGCGUGUGUGUGUGUGUGUGUGUGUGUGUGUGUGUGUGUGUGUGUGUGUGUGAAUUAUCUUAGUACCCUUUGACUUACUCUUGUUUAGAGUUUUAUCAUGAUAUGUAUUAUCUGUAGUAGUUGUGUGCGUGUGUGUGUGCGUGUGUGUGUGUGUGUGUGUGUGUGUGUGUGUGUGUGUGUGUGUGUGAAUUAUCUUAGUACCCUUUGACUUACUCUUGUUCCACUAAAAUAAACUUAUCAAAACUAAGGCAAUAAGCACACAAACAAGUGUGGUUUCAUAUUUCACGUCUUUCAGUUCAUAACUUCAACUUCAAGAUCACAAUGUCAAGAUUUAAAGUUCCUUUGCUUUAUUCAAUAUUGUAUAGUACCUUCAACUGGAACUUGAGACAUUUGAUUGAUGAGGCUUGCGAUAUAUCUUUCUUGGUCAGAUUCUAUCAUCAACAAUGUUUUGAAGAGUCGUUUAUGAUCAAGACCAUUUGGAAGUUGUCAUCAAUACAUCCAUUUGAUAGUUUUUCAUCAACAAAACCA